AGAGUUUGAUCAUGGCUCAGAACGUACGCUGGCGGCACGCCUAACACAUGCAAGUCGAACGAAGUAGCAAUACUUAGUGGCAGACGGGUGAGUAACAUGUAGGUAUCUGCCCUUUGGCCUGGAAUAACACGAGGAAACUUGUGCUAAUACCGGAUAAGUCUUUACGGAGAAAGCUUUAUGCACCAUUGGAUGAGCUUGCACUUGAUUAGUUUGUUGGUGGGGUAAUGGCCUACCAAGACUGUGAUCAAUAGCUGAUUUGAGAGGAUGAUCAGCCACAUUGGGACUGAGACACGGCCCAAACUCCUACGGGAGGCAGCAGUGGGGAAUCUUGCACAAUGGAGGAAACUCUGAUGCAGCGAUGCCGCGUGAGUGAAGAAGGCCCUUGGGUUGUAAAGCUCUUUCGUCGGGGAAGAAAAUGACUGUACCCGAAUAAGAAGGUCCGGCUAACUUCGUGCCAGCAGCCGCGGUAAUACGAAGGGACCUAGCGUAGUUCGGAAUUACUGGGCUUAAAGAGUUCGUAGGUGGUUGAAAAAGUUGGUGGUGAAAUCCCAGAGCUUAACUCUGGAACUGCCAUCAAAACUUUUCAGCUAGAGUAUGAUAGAGGAAAGCAGAAUUUCUAGUGUAGAGGUGAAAUUCGUAGAUAUUAGAAAGAAUACCAAUUGCGAAGGCAGCUUUCUGGAUCAUUACUGACACUGAGGAACGAAAGCAUGGGUAGCGAAGAGGAUUAGAUACCCUCGUAGUCCAUGCCGUAAACGAUGUGUGUUAGACGUUGGAAAUUUAUUUUCAGUGUCGCAGCGAAAGCGAUAAACACACCGCCUGGGGAGUACGACCGCAAGGUUAAAACUCAAAUGAAUUGACGGGGACCCGCACAAGUAGUGGAGCAUGUGGUUUAAUUCGAAGAUACGCGCAGAACCUUACCAACACUUGACAUGUUCGUCGCGACUUUAAGAGAUUAAAGUUUUCGGUUCGGCCGGACGAAACACAGGUGCUGCAUGGCUGUCGUCAGCUCGUGU
rnacentral:rRNA from 1 species